CUCACUAUACCCUCUCCGGUGGAUAAAAUUUAUCGUUUCGUUGAGUUAGCGUUGAAUAUAACACGCGUAAAGUCCACUGGAGGGAUUUACCUGAGGUUUAUAGCCACAUCGCUUUCUAUAAAUUCAUACGAGCUGUAAAUUUCGAAGCAUACGGAUAAAUAAAAGAUGCGCAUGCAUUCGAGAUGUUGUUAAUGGUAACGAGUGAAUACUUGUAUCGUCUCUCAGCUUACGAAAUACCAAUGCAGACCCCUGUGGAAAUCCAGUACUCAUCCUGAGUUUCUUUUCCUUUUGACUGACGUUACGGGAAUUUAGAAAAAAUUACACCGCUGGGAAGACACUUCAGGAUCGUUGACAUAAUGACACCAGCUGGACAGGAUCCACUGCCUGGAGGUGGAUGCAUGUCUGAGUGUGAAUACUGUACCAUAAAUUCUAUCCCUGGCGCCAUAUGCAAACGCGAUGAGAACGAGUAGAAGCGGAAUUCACCGGUUAAUGCCACAUUCAACUAACAGGUGGGAAUUACCAGAAGUACCGAGAGAUUUAACAUAUUGUGCAAACCCCAUGGACCAAUCAUCACCCGCAGGUUGAAAUAUGUGGCCUUGACAUAAACCCUAUGUACAUUGGUUUUUAUCCAUGUAUCUUUUUAAUAUCAGGGCUCCCAGGGUCAAAUUUCUAGACGAUCAAUCUCUCAUCA